GUAUUUUUUAGACUAUAUUUCUUCUUUUGCAAUCGUACGGCCCGUCGAGAUUGACGGUGCGGAUAUUCAGUGUGACGUCUUCGUGGGAGGAUAUAAGGGUAAUUGUGCGAGAGGUGCACAUGUGUGUGUGUGGGGUGGGAGCAUGGGAUUACUCCCCAUGCCAAUAAUUUCCCCAGGAGAAUCAUUUCUCCCAUUUUUUCUCUCUUUUUCUCUCUCGGCUAUCUCUCUCUCCUCCGAAAAACUCCCUCUUCUCUUCUCUCUUCGAUUUCAUCUACUUAGGGUGUGAUUCCGGGUAAGACUGGAGAAUUAAAGUUGUUAUACGGAGCACGGGCUUUCCGAAUAUCCAAGAAAAUUCAUGGUCGGACCUCGUUAGAGCUUGGUUGACUCGGUCAAAGGCUCGGAUUUUGCUCAAAACCCAUGAGGUGUGAACCCGGAGCAGUAGCAUGGAGCAGAGUGCUUGCAUUCAAGUGCAUAAUUUUGAAAGAAACGGUAAAAGAGACUCAUGGACUUUUUGAUAAAAUAUAUUUUGGGAAUGUAAUAUAAUCUUAACUCUAUUUCUUUUUAUGAUGUAAUAUAUUCAAACUCAUGGAGUUGGAAUUGUAAUUUAAUGAUUAGGACAUGGUGAACUCUUUUGGGGUAUCAUGUAAGAUAUUGUGAGGAGUUUUAUUUAUGAAAAACUAUCUUUAUUUAUGUUGAAAA